GCAGUUUAAAGCAAUGAAUGUUUAUCUCACAGGUUUUGUGGGUUAGGAAUUCAGGAGCAAUUUAGCUGGGUGCUUCUGGCUUGGUGUCUUUCGAAUCAUGCUGUGGGCCAGGGCAGAAGUCAGUGAAACGUGACUGGGGCUGGAGGUUCCUCUUCCAGGCUCAUUCAUGCAGCUGUCGUCCAGAAACUGCCGUGGCACCAUCUCCUUCAGGCUUCGCACAGCAUGGCUUCCCUCACUGUUCUAAUCUCCGAAAUGGCACGCUUUCACUUCGUCUCUCUUCUCUUUGUAAGGAGCCAGUCACUUAAGUCCAGCCCAUGCUCAGGAGGAAGGAAGGCAGCCACCAUGUAAGUGGAAGUCCCCCGGAGAGUCAGUAGAAGGGAAGAAUGGCUUGAUUCCUGCCCCCAUCUCUCGGCCAAAGGAUCCUGAGGAAAGCAAUGCUAACUCUUGGCAGAAGGGACAUCCAGCAAUCAGCCAUCUCUCUUGCAAGUGUUCUGGACUUCUCUAUUAAAAAACAGCCUGUUCAGCCAGCAUGUGUCACUGUGUCAUAUUCUGAGGUAGAAAUGGGCUUCCCUGGUGGCUCAGAUGGUAAAGAAUUUGCCUGCAAUGCAGGAAAUGCAGCCUUGAUCCCUGGGUUGGGAAGAUAUAUAAAUGGUCACAACAGCAAGUGGGGGAUCAUUGAGCUUGACACAUUUCAGAUGACUACACGGGGCCAACGCAGCAGCCCCACCCUCCAUGCUGGUGUGUUGUAUAUGAGAUGUGUCCAUGGAGCAUGGGAGCUUAAUGUCCCCUGACUGUCAGUCUCAUAUCAAUGUGGCUGCUAGAUUGCUGCAUUUCCAGCAACCCAUUUGGAUUAAAGAACCUCGAAACGCCCAUGUUGGGAUCUCUAUGUGACAGCAUUGAGAGUGUCAUCUGAAGGCAGCAGGAAGUCUGACAGUCACUAAACUUGUUUUAGAAGCUAGAAAUUCUACCAUUUGUGAAGAUGAAGGCAGUUUGAACCUUUCUGGAUGAAUGCUGCAGUUUGUUUUUGGAACUGAACCUCUGACCUUCCUGAAGGACUGUCUCUUUGGCUGCCAGCGUGUUCUGAUAUUUGACACCUUAAAAGACAACACCCCACGCCACCUCUGGACACAUAAUUAGCCUUUGUUCUGUGGCCUUGUCUUAAGCUACCAUCCCAUCUCUCUUUUUCCUGUGUUUGUUCUUAGCAAGCCUUGAAAUACUCUUCUGGAACUGCUGUCUCCACUUCAUCAUCUAAUUCACUCUUGGACCCACUCCAGUCAGAGCUUCUCUCUUAACCACUCCAUGGAAACUGUCUCUGUAUCCAUAUGUUGAUGUGAUUAGUUAUAUUAAUACAUUCCCUAAUAUGGUGUCAUUCUGGCACUGACAGCAGUUUUCACUCUUUAAACUCAGUGCUGGAUUUGGUUUGCUAACGUUUCAUUUACAACUUUGGUUAGUAUCAGAUGGACGUGCUAUUUCCUUAAAACUCAGGAACGUAGGAAGAUCUUUCCAGUCCAUUUAAUUUCCUUGUUAAUUUAUAGAGGUUAGUUUCCUUGUAGAAAAUAGUUUUGUCUCUAUGUCAUUCAUGUCUCUCCCCAUGGGAUGUCUUUUAUUUGCCAAUAGAAAGAGAAAUAAAUGUGCUUUCUAAUAGUCACAUAAGUCACUAUCUUUACACUGGGGCAUGAUUUAGGAAAGCUGGAAUAAUCUGGUUGGCUUUUGCACAAGGUUGUCUUUUGAGUCCCCAGAAAAUACAAGUUGGUAGAAAGAACAUUGUUCAGAGAGCCGAAAUGUGAUAAUGAAGAGAAAAAAGUUGUUGUUGUUUGUUUUUAGUUUAGUUUUGUUUUUUUGAAGAGGGAGAACAGUUACCAUAUUUUCAGAAUGUAAGUUGUGCUAGUCACUUGAUUGAUGAGAUGUAUCGUGUGUUGUUGUGUCUGACUACGCAACCCUAUGGACUGUAGCUCCUCUGUCCAUGGUAUUUUCCAGGCAAAGAUACUGGAGUGGAUUGCCAUUUCCUUCUCCAGGGGAUCUUCCUGAUCCAGGGAUCGAACCCAUGACUUCUGCAUUGGCAGGCAGAUUCUUUACCACUGAGCCACAGGGGAGC
ensembl:lncRNA